UACGUAGGGUGCAAGCGUUGUCCGGAAUUAUUGGGCGUAAAGAGCUCGUAGGCGGUCUGUCGCGUCGGCUGUGAAAUCCCGAGGCUCAACCUCGGGUCUGCAGUCGAUACGGGCAAACUGGAGUGUUGCAGGGGAGACUGGAAUUCCUGGUGUAGCGGUGAAAUGCGCAGAUAUCAGGAGGAACACCGGUGGCGAAGGCGGGUCUCUGGGCCACUACUGACGCUGAGGAGCGAAAGCGUGGGGAGCGAACAGG
rnacentral:rRNA from 1 species